CACGUAGGGGGCAAGCGUUGUCCGGAAUUAUUGGGCGUAAAGAGCUCGUAGGCGGCUCGGUAAGUCGGGUGUCAAAUCCUCAGGCUCAACCUGGGGCUCCACCCGAUACUGCUGUGGCUAGAGUCCGGUAGGGGAGCGUGGAAUUCCUGGUGUAGCGGUGAAAUGCGCAGAUAUCAGGAGGAACACCAAUGGCGAAGGCAGCACUCUGGGACGUGACUGACGCUGAGACGCGAAAGCGUGGGGAGCAAACAGG
rnacentral:rRNA from 1 species